GGGUCUGUAGCUCAGUUGGUUAGAGCACACGCUUGACAAGUUCAAGUCUUGUCAGACCCACCA
rnacentral:tRNA from 1 species